rnacentral:tRNA from 1 species
GCUAGCGUAGCUUAAAUUAAAGCAUAACACUGAAGAUGUUAAGAUGGACCCUAAAAAGCCCCGCAGGCA